CGUUCAUCCCCUCCAGUCAACGACGCCAGCUGAAGGUGACCGAAUUCCCCAGCUCGAAGACCAGCGGAGCCGCACGCCAGCGAAGCCCGUGAAUUCGUAUGCCUUCAGCCCAUCAAUUUCAGUCAUUCGGGCCCAGCAAAAUUCGGUCCAAUUGAGGGCCAUUUCAAGCCCAGCGAAGCCAGCAAUCUCGGCCCAAAUUUUCAGUCUUCAAGCCCAGCGAAUUUUAGUCUAGCUGGGCCCAAUCACCCAGCAGCUCAGCCACUUGAAGCCCGGCCCAGUUCAGUUUUGUUUCAAGUCCAUCUUCGGCCCAAGUCCAGCCCGCGAAGAGGCCCAAUCGCAGCAAGCCCAAGCCUAAGAGCGAGCCCAGUGCAGUGCAAGAACAAAUCUCAGUUGGGCUGAGAUUUGUUGGGCCAAGCUUAAGGCCCGGUCCAAGCCCGCCGGUGUUGUCGAAAGCCCGAUUUCGGCCGCCGUCGCGUCGCCGUCGCGGUGAUUCGGUCUCCGCUUUUUCCAAGUGAGUUUUAUUCACUAAUGCUUUCUUAGUUGGCUAAUUAUGCUUAAGGGUUGGUUAGACUUAAUGAUGCAUGUUAGGUGGUUAGACUUAAUCAUUAGCAAAUAGAGAGCUUCUAAUAAUUAUCGAAUGCAUCUCGGGAUUUUUCCCGAUUCGUUAUGGCGUCCAAUUCGGCAUUGCGGGCCUAAAUUGGAUUUUUAAUAUUUAUUUAUUUAAUUUUCGAAAUUAAUUAUUUAAUUAAUUAUUUUUCCGGAAAUUCAACCGAGGUGGCCGAUGACUGGAAUUUUAUGCUGAUGAUCGUGGUGCAGUCCAUUUAUUUAAUUAAGCUUUAUAUUGUGUUAAAUUGAAUUUAUUGUAUUUAGUUAUUUAUUUUCCGAAAUUAAUUAUUUAAUUAUUUAUUUCCCGGAAAUUCAACUGGGAUGGCCAGUGACCAAAAUUUUAUGCUGAUUGUCGUGGCGCAGUCUGUUUAUUUAAUUUAACUCUAUUUCAUGCUGAAUUGAAUUAUUUGUGAAAGAGGGAAUUAUUCUUUAAUUGGAUAAUCAUUGGUUAUUAAUUGAAAAAUAAUCAGGCAUCGAUUAAUAAUGCCAAAAAUAUUUGAGUGGACUAUAGAAAAUGUGGGAGUUAUGGAAAGGAAAAUAUUAUAUUUUGGCUAAGGCCAACCGUGUCCCCACACACGGCUAUUUUAUCGAGAAUGAUAAAAGAUGGAAUGGAUUGAAUGGUCGGAUAGUAUACUAUAUCAUCCUACGGGCUCUGAUAUGUCAGCUUAGCGAGAGCAGUAUACUGGUGUACUAUAUCAGCCUACGGGCGAUAUGUUAGCUUAGCGCGAGCAGUACACUUUAUCAACUUACUAUGAGCAUCAAGGAUAUAUUAUAUCAGCCUACGGACGAUAUGUCAGCUUAGCGAGAGCAGUAUACCGGUAUAUUAUAUUAACCUACGAGCGAUAUAUUGGUUUAGCGAGAGCAGUAUACCUUAACCCUAUCAGCUUAGUGCGAGCUAUACUAUCUAUAUAUCAGCUUAGAGUGAGCAGUCCUGGACUAUGGUCGGACUUAUAAAUAGUAUUAAAUGUGCCGACCAAGCAUGGGUCGUGAUGUCAUGUAAUCGACUAGGUCGAUUGAUCAUUACUUUGAUCUGAUGUUGUGAAUUGACUGAUUGAUUGGAAAUGACCAUGAGAUGGUCUGAUUGACAUGUAAUCGACUAGGUCGAUUUGAUCAAUGCUUCGAUCAGUAAUGUGAUUACUUGGGUGCCUACUGAACUGUGCUAAUAUGUAGGUGGAAUCUGAGGCCAAGGUAAGUCCUCUGACUCGUAUGUGUAUAGGUAGCCCGGUUAGCGUAUUAGUUUACUAAUCGAGUCUUAGGGGGUAGAACUUGCUGAGACGUGAUCUCAAUGGUUAUUGAAUAACCAUUUCAGGACCUUGAUGAGGAGCCUGAGGAGAAGGAACCUGAAGAGGAGAACCCUGAUGUGGAACCAAAUGAGGAGGAACAUUUUGGAGAAGAAGAUGACCACGAGAAGGAUCCUGAGUACGACCCGGAUGAGGACUGAGAUCCCAUCUUGUUUUGUCAGACCUUGAUAAUAUGUGGAGAAAUGUUAGAUCAGACCCUUGUGAAUAGUAUUACAUUACAUAUUAUGAGGUGCUUUGUGUAAAAGAGUGGUUGUGAAUUUCAGUAUGGAAAUUAUGGCCCUACUUUUCUAUCCCA
rnacentral:lncRNA from 1 species